UUAGCACCCAAAGUGUCCUAGGUACUCCUAUGGAGCCCUUUCUUGUGUGCAUAUGUGUUUUUGUACAAAUGAUGGUCUCAAUUUAGAAAACAGACACAAGCAAAGAAGAUUUUUGAAAGGGGGAGAGAUUUUGAAAUUAAAGAAGUGGGGAGGAGAUGAAGAGACUAAUCCUAAGCACAAAUUUAAAAGUUGAGAGUUGAAAAGAUCUGACCAAUGGGUUGUAAUCCAAUAGACAAGAAUGUCAUAUAGAAACCCAAAUUUCCCUUGGACUUUAGAAUCAAGCAAUAAUCAAUACACAAAUAGCAAGGUGAAGAGAAAGGCAUCAAAUAAAG
rnacentral:lncRNA from 1 species